rnacentral:rRNA from 1 species
UACAGAGGUCCCGAGCGUUGUUCGGAUUCACUGGGCGUAAAGGGUGCGUAGGUGGCAUAGCAAGUUUGAUGUGAAAGCUCAGGGCUUAACCCUGAAAUGGCAUUGAAUACUGCUGUGCUGGAGGUUUGGAGGGGGGACUGGAAUUCUUGGUGUAGCAGUGAAAUGCGUAGAUAUCAAGAGGAACACCUGAGGUGAAGACGGGUUGCUGGGCUGACACUGACGCUGAGGCGCGAAAGCCAGGGGAGCAAACGGG